rnacentral:snRNA from 1 species
AUACUUACCUGGCAGGGGAAACACCAUGAUCAGGAAGGUGGUUUUCCCAGGGCGAGGUUCACCCAUUGCACUGCGGGUGUGCUGACCUCUGCGAUUUCCCAAAUGCGGGAAACUCGACUGCGUAAUUUGUGGUAGUGGGGGACUGCGUUCGCGCUCUCCCCUG